UACAGAGGGUGCAAGCGUUAUUCGGAAUUACUGGGCGUAAAGCGUGCGUAGUCGGUUAUCUAAGUCGGGUGUGAAAUCCCCGGGCUCAACCUGGGAAUUGCAUUCGAUACUGGAUAGCUAGAGUUCGGCAGAGGGAAGCGGAAUUUCCGGUGUAGCGGUGAAAUGCGUAGAUAUCGGAAGGAACAUCAGUGGCGAAAGCGGCUUCCUGGACCAGAACUGACGAUCAGGCACGAAAGCGUGGGGAGCAAACAGG
rnacentral:rRNA from 1 species